rnacentral:lncRNA from 1 species
CUGGCUUUCUUAUAUCCCUCAGGACUAUUUGCCCAGGGGCAGUAGCACCAAUAGGAGUUGAGCCCUCUCAUUUCAAGCAUUCAUCAAGAAAAUGCCCUGCAGCCAUGCCUACAGGCCAAUCUGAUGGAGGCAGUUCCUCUCUGAAGCUUUCUCCUCCCAAAUGACUCUAGUUUGUGUCAAUUCGACAAAAACUUAGCAGCAUGGUGACACAUGAAUUUUUUUAAAAAAAUUUUUUGAAACAGUCUCUCUAUGUAGUCCUGCCUGUACUAAAACUUGAUAUGAAGACCAGGUUAUUCUCCAACUCACAAGAGAUCUGCCUGACUCUGCCUCCCAAGUGCUGGGAUUAAAGGCAUGUGCCACUGGACCCAGCCUAUGAAUCUAGUUUUUUUGUUUUGUUUUGUUUUGUUUUUCUUUAGAAAUAUACUUAGCUCAGUGGCCUUGGCUUCGAUUUUGUAGACCCACAAAAAAUAAGCAAGGAAAACCACUAUGAGUCAAAACCUGGUUGCUCUUGAUUGAGUAGCCUUCUUUUCCCUGAUGAUUUGAAAUGUCACUUGUCACAUUCCAAAUUCUAAUUUCUUCUUCUUUUUUUUUUUUCAGAAAAUGUCCCAUCGUUCUAUUCAUCCAAAUCUGUCACAGGGGCUCUUUAAUGGCUGUCAUUUUGCUGUGUGUCCUGAUGUCUGUCGGGUUUUCUCUUGUUGCUGUCUCUUUGCUUCGUGGAUCUUUACUUAGAUAAACUCCUGAGACCUGGUCCAGUUUGUCCUGGCUGGGGUGUCAUGGGAAAGCCGGGCUGCCUCUGGGUCCCUGAGAAAAGAACUGCUUUUGCUCCCUUCUCCGGAAGCUCCAGUAAACCCAAGUGGAGUUUUACAGGCCAUCUCGCAGCAUGAGCAAAUGUGGCUCAGGAAAAGAUUGCUGAAACACUUGAAAACUGCAAGUUGGUCUUGACACAGCACGGGCGCAGGAUAUGUGACAGGAAGUGGCGUGGUGAGCAGCGAUAACGAUCCCUGUGGCCAGAUCAACUGUGGGCUUCUCACCCCAGCCUGGGUCCCCACAGCAGACACUGCUCGCACUGAGGCGGAGCUUCAUCACACAGCAUAGUGGGGGUAGGGGCUGAAAUCUGGCUGUGCUACUGAGGGACACUGUGCUACUGUGGGCUACAGAGGGGCUGUGCUACUGAG